GUUAUCCAGGAGGGGGUGUGAGGAUUGACAUGGGGUGUAGCCAGAAGAUAUGAUGGGCUAAGGGCUUUGAUCCCAAAACGUGAAGCCAAGUGAAGGUGCAGGGAUUAGAAAGCUCAUUUCAAAUUUCUCAUUCAAUUCACGUCCAUGAACCUUGUUCCUUCCACUUCAUUGGAGAUCAAAACCUCGCCGCACCAAAAAUCACUUCAAGCGGCGGUGUAGGUCCAAAUUCUCCCAAACACACACCAAUCUGCUCGUCUUGAUUCCCUCUCUCACAAUCUACAACAUGUUUUCCUUAAUUCCUACCCAAUAUUCCAAAUUGAACAAACAAUUCUAUGAACCCUAAAAAUGAAAUCUGAAAUUAAACGCGAAGGGAACUCCAAGAGGAAUCCAAACCUUAGGGGUUUGGUCCCUACGCUAUCAGUCUACAUUGGGGCAAUAAACUAUGAACUAAAAUGAUGAAUUUCAAGGGAGAAACUGAUCUACAAAGCGGAUACUUCAUUGAAUCUUAAGGCCGAUGCAAAUGGAUUAAUAAAAUACCAGAGACACAACAGGGCUAGUAUGGUCAUGACUUGGCAUUGGUCAAGGGGCUAGUAUGGUCAUGACAAUGUUCAUGACUCAAGGUUCCUUCAUGGAGCAACUUGGAUGCUUUGGGGCAACAAAAACAUAUAGGAAGACUUGUAACUGAAGAAAAAUGGGACUAGUGUUUAGGAGUAGUGGUUGACUUUGGUCAACUAUUUGGACCAAAAAGCCAACAGUUAGCCAAAAGUCAACUCUCGGCAAAAAUGAUGUAAUUUGGUAAUUGGUAUUAUAAUAUGAUUUGGAUGAUUUUGUAAUGACAAAUGGCUUCUCUUUUGAAAUGAAAUAUGUGUGUGCUUCAUA